AUACGGAGGGUGCAAGCGUUACUCGGAAUCACUGGGCGUAAAGCGCGCGCAGGCGGUCUUUUAAGUUGGAUGUGAAAGCCUACGGCUCAACCGUAGAACUGCAUCCAAAACUAUUAGACUAGAGUGUGCGAGAGGAAGAUGGAAUUAGUUGUGUAGGGGUAAAAUACGUAGAGAUAACUAGGAAUACCAAAAGCGAAGGCAAUCUUCUGGAACACUACUGACGCUGAGGCGCGAAAGCGUGGGGAGCAAACAGAAUUAGAAACCCUAGUAGUCC
rnacentral:rRNA from 1 species